UACGUAGGGUGCGAGCGUUAAUCGGAAUUACUGGGCGUAAAGCGUGCGCAGGCGGUGGUGCAAGGCAGAUGUGAAAUCCCCGGGCUCAACCUGGGAACUGCAUUUGUGACUGCACGGCUGGAGUGCGGCAGAGGGGGAUGGAAUUCCGCGUGUAGCAGUGAAAUGCGUAGAUAUGCGGAGGAACACCGAUGGCGAAGGCAAUCCCCUGGGCCUGCACUGACGCUCAUGCACGAAAGCGUGGGGAGCAAACAGG
rnacentral:rRNA from 1 species